UGGGGAAUCUUAGACAAUGGGCGCAAGCCUGAUCUAGCCAUGCCGCGUGAUCGAUGAAGGCCUUAGGGUUGUAAAGAUCUUUCGUGGGGGAAGAUAAUGACGGUACCCCAAGAAGAAGCCCCGGCUAACUCCGUG
rnacentral:rRNA from 1 species